ensembl:snoRNA
GAAGAAGAAGAAGAAGAAGAAGCAGCUCUCUGACCUAUACAAGCCUCUUCUAUGGGGGUGAUGGCCAGUCCUAGUGUCUGAGUGAUU